GUGUGCGAGUGAGAAUGCAGGCAUGAGUAGCGAAUGCAGAGUGAGAACCUCUGCCGCCGAAUGACCAAGGGUUCCUGGGCCAGGUUAAUCCGCCCAGGGUGAGCCGGGACCUAAGGCGAGGCCGACAGGCGUAGUCGAUGGACAACGGGUUGAUAUUCCCGUGCCCGUGAUAGUGCGUCCGUGCCGAGUCCGGUGAUGCUAACCAUCCGAACCCGCCUACGACCCUUCGGGGUUGUUUGUUGGGGGAGCGUGGGAUCCGAUCCGGUAGUAGGCAAGCGAUGGGGUGACGCAGGAGGGUAGCUCCGCCAGGCGUUGGUUGUCCUGGUGCAAGCCGGUAGCCCGAUGCCCAGGUAAAUCCGGGUGUCAUGAAGGGUGAGAGGUGAUGCGUAGCCGAUUGAGGCGAAGCAGAGUGAUCCCAUGCUGCCGAGAAAAGCCUCUAGCGAGUGCUGUUGCGGCCCGUACCCCAAACCGACACAGGUGGUCAGGUAGAGAAUACUAAGGCGAUCGAGUGAACUGUGGUUAAGGAACUCGGCAAAAUACCUCCGUAACUUCGGGAGAAGGAGGACCAUCUGCUGUGAAGCCCUUCGCGGGCUAGCGGUGGGUGGUCGCAGAGACCAGGCCCAAGCGACUGUUUACUAAAAACACAGGUCCGUGCGAAGUCGCAAGACGAUGUAUACGGACUGACGCCUGCCCGGUGCUGGAACGUUAAGAGGACCUGUUAGUCCCCUCGGGGGCGAAGCGGAGAAUUUAAGCGCCAGUAAACGGCGGUGGUAACUAUAACCAUCCUAAGGAAGCGAAAUUCCUUGUCGGGUAAGUUCCGACCUGCACGAAUGGCGUAACGACUUGGGCGCUGUCUCGACCACAGACUCGGCGAAAUUGCACUACGAGUAAAGAUGCUCGUUACGCGCGGCAGGACGGAAAGACCCCGGGACCUUUACUACAGCUUGGUAUUGGUGCUCGGUUCGGCUUGUGUAGGAUAGGUGGGAGACUGUGAAGCGGCCACGCCAGUGGUUGUGGAGUCGUUGUUGAAAUACCACUCUGGUCGAAUUGGGUGUCUCAACCUCGGGCCAUGAUCUGGUUCAGGGACAGUGCCUGGUGGGUAGUUUAACUGGGGCGGUUGCCUCCCAAAAUGUAACGGAGGCGCCCAAAGGUUCCCUCAGCCUGGUUGGCAAUCAGGUGUUGAGUGUAAGUGCACAAGGGAGCUUGACUGUGAGACCGACAGGUCGAGCAGGGACGAAAGUCGGGACUAGUGAUCCGGCACCACCUGGUGGAAGGGGUGUCGCUCAACGGAUAAAAGGUACCCCGG
rnacentral:rRNA from 1 species